AGAGACUGUUCUUGGCUUAGGGUACAGGAGGGGGCUUUCCAAGGAUGCCCCGUUCGUAGUGAAACAGGCUUCAUUUUGUCACGGAACCGCAGGCUGAGCUGGGCCUGGCUGGGCAGGUGAAAGCAUAGGGAGGCUCCCUGUAUGCAGCUGAACACGCGGCAGCUCUCAGACUCUGCUCUUGUGGCUACCACCUAAUGGGUAGGUAGUGGAGACCUGGCUAUUUUGGGAGCUGUAUUGAAGGCUGUGGCUUCAGGCCAUGUUUCUUCGCUAGGGUGGAGGCACUGCAGAGCAGGGACCACAGCCGCUUUGUCAACUGUGUGCGAUUCUCUCCUGAUGGGAACAGAUUUGCCACAGCCAGUGCUGACGGCCAGAUAUACAUCUAUGACGGGAAGACUGGGGAGAAGGUGUGCGCGCUGGGCGGAAGCAAGGCCCACGACGGUGGGAUUUACGCAAUUAGUUGGAGUCCCGACAGCACCCAUUUGCUUUCUGCUUCUGGGGACAAAACUUCCAAGAUUUGGGACGUCAGCGUGAACUCCGUGGUCAGCACAUUUCCCAUGGGCUCCACGGUUCUGGACCAGCAGCUGGGCUGCCUAUGGCAGAAGGACCACCUGCUCAGUGUCUCCCUGUCCGGGUACAUCAACUAUCUGGACAGAAACAACCCCAGCAAGCCCCUGCACGUCAUCAAGG
rnacentral:lncRNA from 1 species